rnacentral:rRNA from 1 species
AGAGUUUGAUCAUGGCUCAGGAUGAACGCUGGCGGCGUGCCUAACACAUGCAAGUCGAGUGAUCUUCUUCGGAAGAGAGCGGCGGACGGGUGAGUAACGCGUGGGUAACCUGCCUCAUACACAUGGAUAACAUACCGAAAGGUAUGCUAAUACAAGAUGAUAUAAGAGAUUUGCAUGGAUUUCUUAUCAAAGCUCCGGCGGUAUGAGAUGGACCCGCGUCUGAUUAGCUAGUUGGUAAGGUAACGGCUUACCAAGGCGACGAUCAGUAGCCGACCUGAGAGGGUGAUCGGCCACAUUGGAACUGAGACACGGUCCAAACUCCUACGGGAGGCAGCAGUGGGGAAUAUUGCACAAUGGGCGAAAGCCUGAUGCAGCAACGCCGCGUGAGCGAUGAAGGCCUUCGGGUCGUAAAGCUCUGUCCUCAAGGAAGAUAAUGACGGUACUUGAGGAGGAAGCCCCGGCUAACUACGUGCCAGCAGCCGCGGUAAUACGUAGGGGGCUAGCGUUAUCCGGAUUUACUGGGCGUAAAGGGUGCGUAGGUGGUUUCUUAAGUCAGGAGUGAAAGGCUACGGCUCAACCGUAGUAAGCUCUUGAAACUGGGAAACUUGAGUGCAGGAGAGGAAAGUGGAAUUCCUAGUGUAGCGGUGAAAUGCGUAGAUAUUAGGAGGAACACCAGUAGCGAAGGCGGCUUUCUGGACUGUAACUGACACUGAGGCACGAAAGCGUGGGGAGCAAACAGGAUUAGAUACCCUGGUAGUCCACGCCGUAAACGAUGAGUACUAGGUGUCGGGGGUUACCCC